rnacentral:rRNA from 1 species
UACGGGGGGGGCAAGCGUUGUUCGGAAUUACUGGGCGUAAAGGGCCAGUAGGCGGCCAACUAAGUCCGACGUGAAAUCCCAAGGCUUAACCUUGGAACUGCGUCGGAUACUGGAUGGCUUGAAUUCGGGAGAGGGAUGCAGAAUUCCAGGUGUAGCGGUGAAAUGCGUAGAUAUCUGGAGGAACACCGGUGGCGAAGGCGGCAUCCUGGACCAAUUCUGACGCUGAGGAGCGAAAGCCAGGGGAGCAAACGGG